UACGGAGGAUGCAAGUGUUAUCCGGAAUCACUGGGCGUAAAGCGUCUGUAGGUGGUUUGCUAAGUCCGCUGUUAAAGCUUGAAGCUCAACUUCGAAAAUGCAGUGGAAACUAGUAGACUUGAGUGUGGUAGGGGUAGAGGGAAUUUCCAGUGAAGUGGUGAAAUGCGUAGAUAUUCGGAGGAACACCAGUGGCGAAGGCGGCUCACUGGCUCGACACUGACGCUGAGGUGCGAAAGCGUGGGGAGCAAACAGG
rnacentral:rRNA from 1 species